CUGUGGGCUGGGCCAGGGAGCAGCUGGUGGCUGGGAAGUAAGAUCUGACCUGGACCCCAUCCCACCCACCCCCUGUUUCCUGGCCCACAG
ensembl:miRNA